UACGUAGGUGGCGAGCGUUGUCCGGAUUUACUGGGCGUAAAGGGAGCGUAGGCGGACUUUUAAGUGAGAUGUGAAAUACUCGGGCUCAACUUGAGUGCUGCGUUUCAAACUGGAAGUCUAGAGUGCAGGAGAGGAGAAUGGAAUUCCUAGUGUAGCGGUGAAAUGCGUAGAGAUUAGGAAGAACACCAGUGGCGAAGGCGAUUCUCUGGACUGUAACUGACGCUGAGGCUCGAAAGCGUGGGGAGCAAACAGG
rnacentral:rRNA from 1 species